GAUGAACGCUGGCGGCGUGCCUAAUACAUGCAAGUCGAGCGAACAGACGAGGAGCUUGCUCCUCUGACGUUAGCGGCGGACGGGUGAGUAACACGUGGAUAACCUACCUAUAAGACUGGGAUAACUUCGUGAAACCGGAGCUAAUACCGGAUAAUAUAUUGAACCGCAUGGUUCAAUAGUGAAAGACGGUUUUGCUGUCACUUAUAGAUGGAUCCGCGCCGCAUUAGCUAGUUGGUAAGGUAAAGGCUUACCAAGGCAACGAUGCGUAGCCGACCUGAGAGGGUGAUCGGCCACACUGGAACUGAGACACGGUCCAGACUCCUACGGGAGGCAGCAGUAGGGAAUCUUCCGCAAUGGGCGAAAGCUUGACGGAGCAACGCCGCGUGAGUGAUGAAGGUCUUCGGAUCGUAAAACUCUGUUAUUAGGGAAGAACAAAUGUGUAAGUAACUAUGAACGUCUUGACGGUACCUAAUCAGAAAGCCACGGCUAACUACGUG
rnacentral:rRNA from 1 species